UGGGGGAUAUUGCACAAUGGGCGAAAGCCUGAUGCAGCGACGCCGCGUGGGGGAUGAAGGCUUUCGGGUUGUAAACCUCUUUCGCUAUCGAACAAGGCCCGCUUAGGGUGGGUUGAGGGUAGGUGGAGAAGAAGCGCCGGCUAACUACGUGCCAGCAGCCGCGGUAAUACGUAGGGCGCGAGCGUUGUCCGGAAUUAUUGGGCGUAAAGGGCUUGUAGGCGGCUUGUUGCGCCUGCUGUGAAAACGCGGGGCUUAACUUCGCGCGUGCAGUGAGUACGGGCAGGCUUGAGUGUGGUAGGGAUGACUGGAAUUCCAGGUGUAGCGGUGGAAUGCGCAGAUAUCUGGAGGAACACCGAUGGCGAAGGCAGGUCACUGGGCCAUUACUGACGCUGAGGAGCGAAAGCAUGGGUAGCGAACAGG
rnacentral:rRNA from 1 species